rnacentral:misc_RNA from 1 species
GACCUAAGUAACAAUUAUAGCAUUUCACAAUACCGUGAAAAAGUAAUUUACCCCAUUAAUUUACCACUGGACAGAAGGCAUUCAAGAUUCAACUUGGAACAGCCCCACCAAUACUGUCAUUAGAGUUGAUGUUACACAAGAAAAACAAGUAACCUUAAAGAGUAUUGCUGAUCAUAUCUUUUUUUUUUUUUUUCUUUAUGCACUUUUCUUUACCUAUAAAUCAAAUGAAAGUAAGAAUUCAAAAGCACAUCAUUCUUGCCUAACAAAUGGUGAUGAGCUCAAGUCAGUACUGUAAAAUGAGUCCUCAGCUCCACCAUAGUAAUUAUCAUCUUUCUCCUCAUCCCACUUGAGAACUUCCCUUAUGUACUUAAAUGCCUCGUCAAUGGUCACACGGUCUCUAGCCCUAGCUUGCCACACGAAAAGCUUACAACCUGUGAGGGAUGCAUAGAGAUCUUUGAACUUCAUUGCAACAUAGUAGUAUGCCUGGUGAGCAAGUGUCUGAUUGUUGUGGUGCGGUCGCACAGGACUGAAAUCAUUGAACCACUCACAAGAACUUAGAUGUAUCCGAUUAACCUUCUCUUCAAAGAGAUCAUAUUUGUUAAGUAUCAAGAC